rnacentral:rRNA from 1 species
GUUUGAUCCUGGCUCAGGACGAACGCUGGCGGCGUGCCUAAUACAUGCAAGUCGAGCGAAGAGAHGGGAGCUUGCUCCCUGAUCUUAGCGGCGGACGGGUGAGUAACACGUGGGCAACCUGCCCUGCAGACUGGGAUAACUCCGGGAAACCGGAGCUAAUACCGGGUAAUACAUCGCACCGCAUGGUGCAAUGUUGAAAGUUGGCUUUCUGAGCUAACACUGCAGGAUGGGCCCGCGGCGCAUUAGCUAGUUGGUAAGGUAAUGGCUUACCAAGGCGACGAUGCGUAGCCGACCUGAGAGGGUGAUCGGCCACACUGGGACUGAGACACGGCCCAGACUCCUACGGGAGGCAGCAGUAGGGAAUCUUCCGCAAUGGACGAAAGUCUGACGGAGCAACGCCGCGUGAGUGACGAAGGCCUUCGGGUCGUAAAGCUCUGUUGUUAGGGAAGAACAAGUACCGUUCGAAUAGGGCGGUACCUUGACGGUACCUAACCAGAAAGCCACGGCUAACUACGUGCCAGCAGCCGCGGUAAUACGUAGGUGGCAAGCGUUGUCCGGAAUUAUUGGGCGUAAAGCGCGNGCAGGCGGUCUUUUAAGUCUGAUGUGAAAGCCCACGGCUCAACCGUGGAGGGUCAUUGGAAACUGGAGGACUUGAGUGCAGAAGAGGAGAGUGGAAUUCCACGUGUAGCGGUGAAAUGCGUAGAUAUGUGGAGGAACACCAGUGGCGAAGGCGGCUCUCUGGUCUG